GGCUCCAGUGUGGCGUAAUGGUUUGAGUGUUGGACUGUGAUUCUGGAGACCAGGGUUCGAUUCCCAGCUUGGCCA
rnacentral:tRNA from 1 species